CCCGCAACCCUUGUGAGGAUAAACAGAUUAGAAAAUGGAUGGAUGGAUGCAAUGGGAUUGGGCCAUCGAAUUGGGUCACUUGAACCUUGAAGUGUGAAUCUUGAAAUGACCCGAGGGGGGUAAAUAAGCUUUUUUUUAAAUUUUCUGUUGAUAUAUUAUUUACGUUUUUCUUAACCACACACACACACACACACACACACACACACACACACACUAUAUGUACCAAGCAAGUAUCAUACAACUUUGUCGCUUCCAAAAGGUGAGGAAAUCCAUACUUUAAACUUAUGUUGAAAUUUGUCAUUUGUAAUGUAAAAUAUGAUUAUUUCUGUCCAAAAAGUGUCACGUUUGUUUCAAUGUCAAAUGGCCAUAAUAUUGUGACUGGUUAUUUGUUUACAGUUUGAAAUGCCCCAAAAGUUGCCUCGAUGUGAUACAAGAGUGAAACACAGUGUUCCGAUUGUUUUGUGCCUUUCUUUGCAACAGCUAAGCACAGUUUUUAACUGCGUAGGGUCUUUUGGGGGUUGAGGGGGCAAUGAGUGUUUCCCACAGUGUCACAUUGCCGCCUUUCAGGUGGCAAACAAGCGGAGUGGAACCGUGAAGGGAGCUUUUCUUUGCAUGACAUAAUACACGAUGUGUUCUUCUGUUCAACCGGGCAGAGCAACACCGAAUUCAUACUGUUCAAAAAAAAAAAA